rnacentral:rRNA from 1 species
AUUGAACGCUGGCGGCAUGCUUUACACAUGCAAGUCGAACGGCAGCGCGGGCUUCGGCCUGGCGGCGAGUGGCGAACGGGUGAGUAAUGCAUCGGAACGUGCCCAGUAGUGGGGGAUAGCCCGGCGAAAGCCGGAUUAAUACCGCAUACGACCUGAGGGUGAAAGCGGGGGACCGGAAGGCCUCGCGCUAUUGGAGCGGCCGAUGUCGGAUUAGCUAGUUGGUGGGGUAAAGGCUUACCAAGGCGACGAUCAGUAGCUGGUCUGAGAGGACGACCAGCCACACUGGGACUGAGACACGGCCCAGACACCUACGGGAGGCAGCAGUGGGGAAUUUUGGACAAAGGGGGCAACCCUGAUCCAGCCAUGCCGCGUGCGGGAAGAAGGCCUUCGGGUUGUAAACCGCUUUUGUUCGGGAAGAAAUCCUUUGGGCUAAUACCCCGGGGGGAUGACGGUACCGGAAGAAUAAGCACCGGCUAACUACGUG